rnacentral:lncRNA from 1 species
CCGAGAUGUAAAUUUUAUAUAAUAAAAUGCGAAUUUUCUCUUUUUGACUUGAAGCCUUGUCUGUUACUUUCUUCAGGAAUGUCAUCACAAAUAGAUUUGUCUGGGAGCUUGAUGAGUAAGAAAAGCUAUCUGAAAGUAGGCAAGGUUCCAUUUGCAUUUCACUUGUCUCCAUGAAUGUGUGCAAAUUCUUCAACCUCUUCCUUCCCAAGAGGAAAUUCAGACUUUUUAAAGAUAAGCAUCUGAUUAUCUAUUUUCUUUAAAAAUAGCAUUUUAGAUAUUUCCUGUCCUUAAGAUGUUGCUGUUGAGCAGAUAACAACUUGAACCGUGCUAUGUUAGAACGGAUGCUGAAAACUAAAUGAGCAAGGUUAGUGCUGACAUCUACUGUUAGAACUUGAGGAUGUGCUACUUUGUCACAAGCAGUUCCCUCCUAAGGAGACGGGAGUUGUGUAGCACUAGUUGCGGGUGCAGGGGGUCAGAGUGACUGGAGGAGAGAAUCACCCAAAGCUCCAUCAUCCUGAAGAAGGGCGCAAGGGAAUGACUUCGCGCUUCUUGAGAUAAACAUGUUGAAGAAUCUGGAGCAGAAGAUAAAUUAAUGUCAAGAGUUUAAUUUUCAGACCCAGCCAGGGACCUAAUACGAUCAAGAAAAACAUUCUUCUCCCCUAUGCUCUCAUCUAGAAGAGAAGGAAAUGGAGGCUCAGAAUGCUGAUCUGAGUUGCCUGAGAUCCCACUGCUAGAAAUUGCAGCGAGAGACUGGAACGCUGGUCCCCUCUGGUUCCAAGUCCAGAUAGAAAUGAUUGAAGUUGUGGUAAACGUAAACAAGACAGAGCCAGCAGAUAAGCAGCGGCACCCCAACAGAAGUAAGGAGUGGAGUGACAUCUGGAGGAGACAGGAAGAAAGGAGUGUGAAAGAGUUGGGAGUUUAAAAAUACUGACCAAACUCCAACCUGUAUAUUCAGGACUGGAGCGAGAACCAGGAUGGAGAAAAAUUUUAAGGACUUUGUGUAAAGAAGGUCUUGCUUCCCUCCCGAGGCCAGCGAGAGAUGGUGAAGCAAGCAAGGAUGGAGCAACACCCCAAAGCUGUGACACGCAGGCCCCACCAGCGACUGGCCUUGGGCCCCUUCACCCCCGUCACUCCCUCCACCACCUUCCCAGGCUCUCCCAGCUCCCUGGGAUCCCAGGCUCUCCAUGCCCGGCCCAGUCUGCGACCAAUGCCUGGGCUAGGCCUGGCUGGUGUCUCCUUGCCCUCUAGGCCUUUGCCUCUUCCUCCAGGGAGUCCUCCCUAAUGCCCUUCCCAGACUGAGUCCGUCUGUGCUGCAUGUGUCAUGUCUGUGAAACGUAGAGGACAUAUGGCUCCUCCAGUAGGGGCACAGGAGUCUGGGAGGGAACCAGUGGGAGGCUGGCAAGAGGAAGCAAGGAGAAGCCAGCACAGAUGCCUGAGCAACUGACUGAAGCCUUGUCAUCUCUGACCUUGGAAGUCAGGCCCUCACUCGGUUACCUGAUCUCACGGCUCAAUUUGCAACCGGAAGCACAUCAUCGGCUCAAACGAACGUUGGUUGAAUGAACGAACUGGAGGAAAAGAACCGGGGAGGCAGAGGGGGUCUGAAAACCCCGGGUCGGGUCUGCAUCCUGCUGUGUAAAAUGAGCUCACACGCGCACUGCAGGAGAUUCCAACAGCCUGGCCUGGGGUUUCCUCUUCCAUCAGGGCUCAGCUGAGCCACCGCCUGCCCCAGGAAGCCUUCUCUCAACCCCACAGUUCGCUGGGGGUGGGGGCAGGGGCACCGUGCAUAAGCUCGUUGUUGGGGGAGUAAUGGACCAAGUCCAGAAAGUUCCAUUGCAAGAUGAUGAGAGUCAGGGAGGCAGGGUGGCCUCAUGGGCUUUGCCAUUUUCUUUUUCUUACCUUGUUAAAUUAAAAGCAAUUUUCAAAAAAGUGAAAAGAAAAUUCUCUCCCAAUAAAAGGAUCUACCAGCUGGAGUUAGGAUCCUUCCUAGGAGAGUAUCAGUAUUUUCUCUGUUCUAGGGGGAGCGCUGGAAUAUAUCCUGGGGCAGACUCUCCUUUUGUUCUGGAGGAAGCCACUUCUGUGAGCCGGUUUGGUUUGAGGUCUAUAAGAUUCUUCAUUGUUGUGGGGAGAAGUCCCAAGGAAAGCCCCAAACCAAUGAAGUGAUCCUACUGCAGAUGUUUCAGAGGGAGGUGUUGAGGGCUUUUCUUAGCGUUGUACCUUGACGUGUCUUCUUGACAGGACUAAGCCUCUGCAGGAUCAGAGCCACCAUGGAGCAGCAUGGAGACUGGGCCCUACCCAUGGCCAGGGGCAGAGAAAUCAGCCAGCUCUGCUCACCGGUCCGUGAGGUGCUAGUCUUCCCAGAGAAAGGGCAGCUUUUUCUAAUUUUCACGAUGUGCCAUAGAGACUAGAGUUUCUGAGAGACAGUAUACAACCCCUGAGAUCAUGCCAAGAAGGACCUAGGGAUCUGAUCUGAUCUCUACCAUUUACCAGAGGAAAGACUAUGAAGAGGAAGUAAACUGAGUUUGGUUUAGAAGCGCUGGCUCCUUGAUUUUGUUGCCCAGACGUGGUAUUAAGCCUGAAUAACCCAGCCUGCAGGAAAUGUGUUGUCAGCUGUUGAGAGUGUCUUGUCUGAGCAAUGGAGGAGGGAGAUGGAGUGGGCAGACGGCAUGCUACAUGGAGGGUGGGAGUGCUCCUAAGCCGAUGGGUGCUCCCACUGCGAAUCAGCCUGGGAUAGGAAAAGAAGCAGGUCCAGGAAGGCGAAAGGGCUCUCUGGAGCCAGAGAAGUUGAGCCUGGAUUUCGGGUAGGAGGACACCAGUAAAGAUCCUUGCAAGAUGGCAGCUGUCUGAGGAUCAAGGAGAAAGAAGACCAAUAGGGGAUGACCUAUAGGAGGGUGUGGAUUAGGCACCUAGGAAGAGUGAUAGCUGGAUAUUUUUUGACCACGUUACAGUGCAUUCAGCAAUCUCCAAGCCUUCAGUGAAGUUUAUUUAGCUAUGCUUUGGAGAAAUAAAGAGGAUGCCUGGACCUGCACAUAGGGUGCAGGUGUAAGGGCAAAGCUCAUGCAGCCUGGACAAACCGUUAUGUGAGAGGGGAGCGGCAGUUGGAGAACAAUGACUAGCUAGAGGGACGAAUGCAGGGGAACCAUCUUUGUGCGACAGAUGAGCAUUCUUUGAGGACUAUCAGAAACAUUUGGCGAGAGCAACCAGAAAACCAGGACUUCAUGCAGUUGUUCAGGUCAGGAGCUUGGAUGAAGUUAGUUGGUGUUAAAGGAAAGGGUGACUCUGGAAGGCUAGAGGUGGUGGGGACAUGUGAGAUCCCCAGGGGAGAACGAAUGGCUAGAAGGGAAGGGAAUGUGGCAUUGCUGACUCCAAAGUGCCACAACACAUUUUUCUUUUAGCUCUCAAAGUGAAAAGCUGACAGUUCCAUUCCUAUAAGGGGAAGGCAUUUUGCUAGAUGGAAUCUCAUUUUCAUUUCCUCUCUGUUGUCACUGAAACACUGAUUACUUAUAAACAUUUCUGCAAGAAGAAUUCAGAUUCAGAUUCUUUGUUUAAGAAUUACAUAAUUUUUAAAUUAAAUACAUUCUUCCAGUACUCAUUCAAAGACAGAAAAACAAAUCAGAUUUUAUGUGUUUGCCUCUAUCACUCUUUCGAUAUUAACUAGUUACCUGGCUGUUUUUCUGUCUCUCAGUCAUCUUAACUCAAAUGCCUGCAAAAAGCCAAUACUGCUUAGUGUUAAAAUAAAACAAAAAGCCCACUUCAGAAAAUUGCAUAUUAUUUUAUUUUAUAUAAAAAUGCAUAUUACUUCCAGAUGGUCAAGUCUAACCUAACCAGAAAAAGGCUUAUUAAAAUAAUGCAUAAAAUCUGAGGAAAACAAAUAAGACUUAAAAGCAAAAAGAACAGUUAUUAGAAUUACAGAUGCAUAAUUUUCCUGGAAUGCUAGUGAUCUGAAGUAAUCUAAGGAAAUGUUUACUUUGGUCUACUUGCAACUUAAUAUUACUCUAUGUUGAUUUGAAGUGUUGACACUGAACCAAUAAAAUAAACGUCUGUAAUGAAGUCAUAGAUGUAAAUUCCCACUGCAAUUGAACAACACGCAGAGAAUUCCACUCUAAAACACCACUGCCA